rnacentral:rRNA from 1 species
UCAGCCAGCGAUCCGGCGAUUGCCGGUGCGGCACCGUCAUUAACCCGUGUUCAUCAGCGUGCGGAUGCCCUGAUGCGGGAGCUGGAUCCGCGCACCACCACUGAACUGA